UCAGUGGUAGCUCAGUGGUUAAGGCAUUCUGCUACUGUUUGGAAGGUUGUGAGUUCAAAUCCCAGUACUGCUAAA